AGAAAAAUGAUAUAUAAGUAUUACUUGUAAAUAUAUAAGUAUAUAAAGAAACUAUUAUGGAAUUUAAGCUAUGUAUUAAAGAGAAUUAUUUAUAUAUAUAGAGAUAUAAUAUCCUAUAAUUAUAUGAACUCUAAGAGAAAUCUAAUAUUAAACGAAGUGAAUUGAAAUAUCUUAGUAACUUUAGGAAAAGAAAUCAAAAGAGAUUCUAUGAAUAGCGUGAGCGAAAGUAGAGUAGCCUAUAAAGUAGAACGGUCUCAAAACUGUUUAAAUAUAAUGGGGAACCUUCCUCAAAGGCUAAAUAUAAUACAUAAGCGAUAGUGAAAAGUACCAUGAGGGAACAAAAACAAAAAUAGUAGUUUUAUAAGCAGUUCGAUAAAAAGAACGUACCUUUUGCAUAAUGGGUCACCAAGUUAACGUUAGAUGCGAGUAUACGCGUAGUUAAACCGAACGUUAAAAUAACGAAAUAGUGUCUAAAGUUAGACCCGAAGCACGGUGAUUUUACCAUGGUCAGGAUUAUAAAAGUCCGAACGGGUGAUUGUAGCAAAAAUCUCCGAAGAACUGUGGUAGGUGUAGUGAAAGACAACACUGACUGUGAUAGCUGGUUUUCUGCGAAACCUAUAAUAGUAGGCAAUUUAAGUAAAUAUCUUAGCAGGUACAGAAUUUAAUCUCAGACAAGGCGUGUAAACGUUUUAUAUUGUAUAAAUUGGGGAAUCAUGAAGAUUUUAUCAGUGAGUAUGUAGACUCGGAAUGGCAAAGAUAUGUCUUAAAUUAUCAGACAUAGAAUGAUAAGGUUGUAUGUCGAAAGGGAAACAGCCCAGAACAAGAGUUAAGGUUCCUAAAUUAUUAGUUAAGUGAAAUUAAGAAGGUUUUUAUUAAAGUCGACAAGGAGAUAGGCUUAGAAGCAGCCAUAAUUUUAUGACCUCGUAACAGAGCGCUUGUUAAGUUAUAAAAGCAUCGAAAAUUUAACGGAUCUAAACAAUAUACCGAAACCUUGUCCAUAAUAUAUUAUAUUAAUUAUUUUUAAUGUAAUUUAAUGGGGUAGCAGAACGUUGAGCUAGAUUAUGAUUUCUAUUUUUUAAAUAGAAUUAUAUUAAUUUAACUCAAGUGAGAAUGGUGACAUGAGUAACGAAAAGAAAAUUUUCCGCCUUAAGCUUAUGGAUAUAAUUAAGUAACGGCCUCUAAGUUUAUAUUAUCUAAAGAUUUAAACGAUGAGAAAAUCUUUUUUACUAAGGACAACAUUUUAGUGUAAAAUGUGCUGGAAAAAUAGUAAAUAUAUUUGUUAUUUAUAACAAAUGAACAAUAACCGUACCUAGAAUCUGAAACAAGUAAGCUAGUAGAGAAUACGAAGGCGUAAAUGAGCUAACAAUCAUAAAGGAACUCGGCAAAUUGACUACCGUAACUUCGGAAUAAGGAGGGCUCAUUAUUCUUGAUUAAUAUCAAGUAAAGAGGAAGAAGCAUGAAAUAAUGUUGUACGACUGUUUAAUUAAAACACAGCACUUUGCUGAAAGAUUAAAAAUCUAUGUAUAAAGUGUGAUAUCUGCCCGGUGCCGGCUGGUUAACAGAGAUAAUUGAAUAUACUACUAUUUGAUGUCGACGGAAACCCCGGUUAAAGGCGGCCUUAACGUGAGGGUCCUAAGGUAGCGAAAUGCCUUGGCCGUUAAAUGCGGUCUUGCAUGAAUGGUGUAACGAUACAACAGCUGUCUCUAUGAUUGACUCAGUGAAAUUGGAAUAGCUGUGCAGAUACAGCUUACCUCUAGUUAGACGAGAAGACCCUAUGCAGCUUUACUGUCACUAAUUAUAGAGUAUGAUAGACAAUUUUCAGAAUAUAAGGUAAUUGACAAUAUGACAAUGAGAAUCCUUUAUUUUUCUUUCAUAUGAAUGAAUUGGUUUAGGAUUAUGAGUAGAUUGUAAUUAAUGUGGCUUAUUACUGAGUCAUUAAAAAACAUUAAUUAUAGUCUUUAAAUUAUUAUAUAGCUCAUUUUAGUAAAUCAGCCUAAUUCAACUUAUUAUUUUAGAAUAGUAAGUACCCUUUGGCAAGGAACUAUCGCUAGGGGACAGUUUAUGUGGGGCACAGACCCUGUAAAGAGUAAACAGGAGUGUCUAAUAAUUAUAAAUUAUUUUGUUUGCUAUUUUGAGUAGUUUAACUAUUUUUAAUCAUAUAUAAUUAUUUAUAUUUGCAUUUAUUGUAAAUAUAUUUAAGUUUAGGUAGGAUUUUUACUAUAUAGAAAUUAGAGAUAAUUGAAAACAUUACGAAUUAUUUCUAAUGUUUUCUAGCUAUCAUUUUUGAUAGUUAUGUAUUUAAUAUCUAAAAAGCUCAACGGCUAAAUCUUGCCUUACUGUUUGAUUAUCUACAAAUCUUACAGUUGCGUAAGCAGGGCAUAGGAUCACAAGAUGCAAUAAGGAAAGAUCUUGGAUUAUUGGAAAAGCUACGCUAGGGAUAACAGGCUAAUUUGCGCAAGAGUGUACAAAAUGAGUGCGCGGUUUGGCACCUCGAUGUCGGCUUAACUUAUCCUCAUGGACGCAGGAACUAUGUAGGGUGCGACUGUUCGUCGAUUAAAAAGUUACAUGAGCUGGGUUAAAUACGUCGUGAGACAGUAUGGUUUCUAUCUUCUAGGGGGAAUUAGAAUAAAAUAAGAACGAACUUUUGUACGCAAGGAACAAGAAGAGUUUAGCCCGUAAAAAAGGUUAAAAUAUAGUUACUAACCUAUGGUUUACCUGUUGUUUAUGUGCCCAAAUAUUAAAUAUAUAUGCUAUUGUAUAUAUAUAUAUGUAUUAUUAUAAUACAUAGGGAUGUUUCUCUCACUAAGAUAAAUGUAUAGCAUAAGCACGGCAGGAACGCUAAGUUGGUUAAGGAUAAGUGCUGAAAGCAUAUAGGCACGAAGCUUAUCUUAAGAUAUUUCUUAAAUAUACGUAAUAUAUUAUUACGUAAUUUAUAGGCUUUAUCCGUACGAAUCUAGAGAUUUUAAAGAAUAAAGUACUAAUUUAAUAAUUCACUAUUUAUAAAUAUAUCA
rnacentral:rRNA from 1 species